rnacentral:rRNA from 1 species
AUUGAACGCUGGCGGCAGGCUUAACACAUGCAAGUCGAGCGGGGGAAGGUAGCUUGCUACCGGACCUAGCGGCGGACGGGUGAGUAAUGCUUAGGAAUCUGCCUAUUAGUGGGGGACAACAUCUCGAAAGGGAUGCUAAUACCGCAUACGUCCUACGGGAUAAAGCAGGGGAUCUUCGGACCUUGCGCUAAUAGAUGAGCCUAAGUCGGAUUAGCUAGUUGGUGGGGUAAAGGCCUACCAAGGCGACGAUCUGUAGCGGGUCUGAGAGGAUGAUCCGCCACACUGGGACUGAGACACGGCCCAGACUCCUACGGGAGGCAGCAGUGGGGAAUAUUGGACAAUGGGGGGAACCCUGAUCUAGCCAUGCCGCGUGUGUGAAGAAGGCCUUAUGGUUGUAAAGCACUUUAAGCGAGGAGGAGGCUACUUUAGUUAAUACCUAGAGAUAGUGGACGUUACUCGCAGAAUAAGCACCGGCUAACUCUGUGCCAGCAGCCGCCGUAA